rnacentral:rRNA from 1 species
CCUACGGGUGGCUGCAGUGAGGAAUAUUGGUCAAUGGGCGCGAGCCUGAACCAGCCAAGUAGCGUGAAGGAUGACUGCCCUACGGGUUGUAAACCUCUUUUAUAAAGGAAUAAUAUGAGGCACGUGUGCCUUUUUGUAUGUACUUUAUGAAUAAGCAUCGGCUAACUCCGUGCCAGCAGCCGCGGUAAUACGGAGGAUCCGAGCGUUAUCCGGAUUUAUUGGGUUUAAAGGGAGCGUAGAUGGGUUGUUAAGUCAGUUGUGAAAGUUGGCGGCUUAAACGUAAAAUUGCAAUUGAUACUGGCAGCCUUGAGUACAGUCGAGGUAGGCGGAAUACGUGGUGUAGCGGUGAAAUGCUUAGAUAUUACGAAGAACUCCGAUUGCGAAGGCAGCCUACUAGACUGCCACUGACAUUGAUGCUCGAGAGUGUGGGUAUCGAACAGGAUUAGAUACCCCAGUAGUC